rnacentral:rRNA from 1 species
UAGGGAAUCUUCCACAAUGGACGCAAGUCUGAUGGAGCAACGCCGCGUCGAGUGAAGAAGGUUUUCGGAUCGUAAAGCUCUGUUGUUGGUGAAGAAGGAUAGAGGUAGUAACUGGCCUUUAUUGACGGUAAUCAACCAGAAAGUCACGGCUAACUACGUGUCAG